rnacentral:rRNA from 1 species
UACGUAGGGGGCGAGCGUUGUCCGGAAUUAUUGGGCGUAAAGAGCGUGUAGGCGGUUCGGUAAGUCUGCCGUGAAAACCUGGGGCUCAACCCCGGGCGUGCGGUGGAUACUGCCGGGCUAGAGGGUGGUAGAGGCGAGUGGAAUUCCCGGUGUAGCGGUGAAAUGCGCAGAUAUCGAGAGGAACACCUGCGGCGAAGGCGGGUUGCUGGGCUGACACUGACGCUGAAGCGCGAAAGCUAGGGGAGCGAACGGG